CUCUCUCUCUCUGUCCUUUCGGUUUUAACUAGCAUUAGGCAGGUGGUUAGGAGGGGAGGUAAAGCUCAAAGCUCCCUCCCCUGACAGCGCAGCAUCUUGUUUGUUUUAUCUCCCACAUCAUCUCCCUCAUCAUCAUCAUCAUCUCCUCUUCUUGCAAGCACCCACAACAACACAAACUCUCUUUCUUCAUCUUUCUCUCUCCUCCUCCUCUCUUUGUUGUACUCUACUCAACAUUUCUCAACUUUCACUUCUUCUUCUUCUUCUUCCUUUCUCUCUUCACAGCUAUCAUAUUCUCCUCCUGCUUGCUGCUGCUGCUGCUGGCUGUUUCUCUCUCAUCCAUCCACCCUAUUAUUUAUUCAAGGCUAAGUGAUGGUAUCUUAAUUCUUUUUUCCUCUCUGCCUCCUCUUCUUCCUCCUCCUCUCUCUCUCCCUUGCUGUUGCAGGAGUAUAAUUUUUAUUUUUGCCAGGCUUCUUCCUGUACUGGUGUUUCCUUGUUUCCUCCCUUUCUUGUGCUUCUUCUUCUUCCUCAUCUUCUUUUUUUUUUGGGUUUUCUCUCUCCUGCCAUCCUUUUCACCUCUACUAGCUCUCCUGAUGUACUGAUCAUUCCAUCACCUCCAUUCCCCAGUGGUAACACUCGUGGGGGAGGAGGAGGAGGAGGAGGUAGUAGCAUGCAGCAGCAGCAGCCAGGGGGAGGAGGGGGAGGGGUGCAGCAGUUCGGCGCGGUGGCGCCGGAGAUGUCGCCAUUCUCGCCGGCGGGAGGAGGCGGCGGGGGGCGGAUCUCCAUGGCGGAGGCCGCGUCGCCCAUCAGCAGCCGGCCGCCGCCGGCGCAGCAGCAGUUCGACGAGCUCGGCGUAGGCGGCGGAGGCGGAGGCGGAGGUGGGUUUGACGCCGAGGCGCUGGCGGCGGCGGCGGUCGGCGAGGAGGGAGCCAGCGGCGGCGCGGGGGGGAACCGGUGGCCGCGGCAGGAGACGCUGGCGCUGCUCAAGAUCCGGUCGGACAUGGACGCCGCGUUCCGGGACGCCACCCUCAAGGGCCCGCUCUGGGAGGAGGUCUCCAGGAAGCUGGCGGAGGAGGGUUACCGGAGGAGCGCGAAGAAGUGCAAGGAGAAGUUCGAGAACGUGCACAAGUAUUACAAGCGCACCAAGGAGAGCCGCGCGGGGCGCAACGACGGCAAGACGUACCGCUUCUUCACGCAGCUCGAGGCGCUGCACGGCACCGCCGCCGGCGUCGUGGCAGCGCCAUCGCCGGUGACGUCGCUGGCCCCGCCGCCGGCGACGGCUGUGGGGGUGUCCGGCGGGGUGCGCGCCCCCGCCGAGCCGCCGCCCGCGGUGGUGAUGGGGAACGUGAUGAGCUUCUCGACGUCGAACACGGAGGAGUAUUCCGACGAGGAGGACUCCGACGACGAGGGGACCGAGGACAUGGGCGGCGGCGGCGGUGAUGAGAGGGGGAAGAGGAAGAGGUUGUCGGAGGGUGGCGCCGCCGCGGGCGUCGGUGGCGGCGGCGGAGGAGGAGGAGGGAGCGGGAAGAUGAUGAGGUUCUUCGAGGGGUUGAUGAAGCAGGUGAUGGAGCGGCAGGAGGCGAUGCAGCAGCGGUUUCUGGAGGCCAUCGAGAAGCGGGAGCAGGACCGGAUGAUCCGCGAGGAGGCGUGGCGGCGGCAGGAGAUGCGCGCCUCGCCCGCGAGCAGGAGAUCCCCGCAGGAGCGCGCCACGUGGGCGACGCCGCCGUCGUGUCCUUCAUACAGAAGAUCACCGGGCAGACCAUCCCAAUGCCGCCCAUCAUCGCCGCCCCCGCCAUCACCGUCAUGCCCCCACCGGCGCCAUCCCAGCAGCCUCAGCCGCCGCCACCGCCGUCUCACCCCACCCCCAUCACCUCCGUCGCGCCAGCUCCGCCGCCGCCGCCACCAGCAGCAGCAGCAGCAGCAGCAUCCCAGCCAUCGCCGCAGGCCACCAAGUCGCCAUUGCCGGCGACGCCGCAGACGCAAAGCAGCAUGGACAUUGUCAUGACGGCCGCCGAGGCGCACGACGCGGGGUACGACGGGUCCGGCGGCGGCGGGGGGCAGCCGUCGUCGUCGCGGUGGCCCAAGGCGGAGGUGCACGCGCUGAUCCAGCUGCGGAGCAACCUGGACAACCGGUACCAGGAGGCCGGGCCGAAGGGCCCGCUGUGGGAGGAGAUCUCCGCCGGCAUGCGGCGGCUGGGCUACAGCCGGAGCUCCAAGAGGUGCAAGGAGAAGUGGGAGAACAUCAACAAGUACUUCAAGAAGGUCAAGGAGAGCAACAAGAAGCGCCCCGAGGACUCCAAGACCUGCCCCUACUUCCACCAGCUCGACGCCCUCUACCGCAACAAGGCGGCUCUCAACUCCUCCUCCUCCUCCGCCGCCGCCGCCGCACCGGCCCUCCCGCCGCCGGAGCACGCGGAGCCGGCGGUGACAGUCGCCGCGCCGAUCUCGCAGACACCGCCGCCGCCGCCGCCACAGCCCGUGACGACGACCAAGAACGGCAACGGCACCAGCAGUACAAACGGCGCGAACGGCGAAGGAGGAGGAGGCGGCUCCGGGGGCAUGCAAAUGCAGGCGAGCAACGGCAGCGUCGUCGCCGGCAACAAGUUCUUCACCGGCGCGGCGGCGAAGAAGCCAGAGGACAUUAUGAAGGAGAUGAUGGAGCAGAGGCCGCAGCAGCCGGCGGCGGCGAACAACGCCUUCAACCGAACGGACGGCGGCGGUGGCGGCGGCGGCGUGGACAGCGACAACAUGGACGAGGACGACGAGGAUGACUACGACGACGAUGACGACGACGACGACGACGACGUCGACGGCAACAAGAUGCAGUACGAGAUCCAGUUCCAGCAUCAGCACCACCACCAGCAGCCGCCGCAGCACCGCCACCAGCAGAGCGUCGUCAGACCGAACGCCGCCGCCUCCGCGGCCGCCGGCGGCAACCCGCCCGGCACCGCCGCCCCCGCCACGGCGGCGGCCGCAACGACGACCACCGGAUCUUUCUUGGCAAUGGUCCAGUGAUCCAUCCAUCCAUCCGGUGACUCUCUCUCCUUCCUACACAUGCAUACCUCCAUGCGCGUCAAUGGCUUCUUCUUCUUCUUCCUCCUCCAUCUCUUGUACCAUUUGUAUCUACCUACCUGUCGCCUCCUCCAUGGCUCGUCCAUAUCUCAACACCAUCAAAAAGCUCAAAAACCUAAAACCUCAAGAAUUCUCUUCCUCCUCCGGCAUAUUUCUCCAUUGAUUCCUCAUGCAAGCUAGCAGCUAUACAUCUCCAUGCCAAGAAAGAAAAAUUCGCCCAUUUCAAGCUGCAUGCAUGCCCAUCGAUCGUUCGUCGCUGGAUGUUCCUAGCAAGAAAAAGCUAGUAGCAUCGAUCCAUUUCUUGAUUCGUUCUUGUGUUAAUUACAGUGGUCUCUCCCAUCUCGCGUCUCCUCUUAGCUAGUGUUAAAAGCAAAAAAAAAGGAAUUGGUGGCGUGGUAAUUUAUUGAUUUGUUGUGGUAAAUUUAAUAAGGACCCUCCAUUCGUGAGGGUUCACGGAGAGGGUUUAAAACUUGGUGCGGUGAAAAACGGCACAGAGGAGCGGUAAUAACACCUCGCUCUCGCGGUUAAAAAAAAAGGAAGACAAGGGUAUAUAUGCAAAAUGUUGCGGUGGUUGUGGUUGUUACAAAUUAUUACACCUCGGUAAAAAUUUGUUUGGCUAUGUGUACUACUGCUCGAUCUACUGUGGCAUGUUGCAAGGGCGCGGUGAAAAAAAAAUCGAAGGUGAAAAAUUAAAGAUGUGCUCAUCAAGUGAAGUGGCAGUGAAAAAGCAAGAGAGCUGGUGCUGGUGUAUGCCGGAAUUUUUCCCAUUUCUCUUUUUUUUCUCUUUUCUCUCCUUCUUUUAUAUGUUUUGUUUUGUUUUUUCUAAUUACCUAAACUGUCCAUUAUGUAUUACCUGAGUUUUUUUUUCUUCCUUUCCCAAACUGUUGUUACCGAAGUUUUACAGUGUAUACUCGCGACAUAUUAUAUGUUACAUUCUUGCUAUUCUUAUACCA